rnacentral:lncRNA from 1 species
UUCUUUUUUUGCGCCUUCCAGACAUAAUUGGCUCAUUGGCAUUAUACCAUUUUCAACUUAUAGUGCAGUCAAUUUUACAAUUUGGUGGAUCAGGUAAAUACUUUAAACUUUGAAUACAUGGUACUGUAUCCUGUAAGGUGGUACCUUUUAAUACUUAUAUUUACAUAUUCAUGAAAAUACCAAUGUAAUGACUACUUUUUAAUGUGUAAAACCCAGUUCAUGAUCGGCAUCUCAGGUGUUCAUCACUUGAUGCUCCAGGUCCAGCCUUAAGUCUCUUCCAGGACUUGGUAAGAAUCCAGGAGCUGCAUUUCAGCUGGACAGUCAUUGUCAGUAGAAGAGGAUGUGACUUGCUGAAGGCUCUUUUGCAGCACCAACGGGAGGACGGCACUUAUAAAUUCUUAGAAGAGCAGAGAACUGAGGAGCAGGGCACAUCACCAAUGAAAAGUGCCAUCUGGGCCGGGAUUGCAGGGGAGAGGCGAAGAGAGAACAAAUGGUAAAUCAAAGGUUUGGAUCCGAUGAGUGUUUAGAGUAGGUGUGUGCAUGGCGUGCUUUUGAAUUCAGACUGCUUCGUGCCUGGAUAAGUUCUGGAAUGUGGCAAUAACUGGCCCUAGGGAUGCACAAAGGAACACUGGGUUACCAGAGGAGAAGGCA